ACCAACGUUUUCAGCCCCUCUCUGGGCUCUCAUCAGGAUCAGUGUUUUUUUUUUUUGAUCCUGAUGAGAGCCCAGAGAGGGGCUGAAACGUUGGU